CGGCUCUUCCAUAUCAUUCUGAAGCAGAAUUUCACCAAAGCGUUGGAUUGUUUCACCCCACCAAUAGGGAACGUGAGCUGGGUUUAGACCGUCGUGAGACAGGUUAGUUUUACCCUACUGAUGUCUUGUCGUUGCUAUGGUAAUCCUGCUUAGUACGAGAGGAACCGCAGGUUCAGACAUUUGUUUAUGUGCUUGGUCGAAAGACCAAUGGUGCGAAGCUACCAUCUGAGGGAUUAAGACUGAAAGCCUCUCUAAGUCUGAAUCCCGCCCGCCAGAAAUGCAACGAUACUAUCGGUGCCCCUACGCCGGGAAGGCAACGAUAUACUCGGCCCGAAAUCCGAUUUCGGCGGCCGAGACUGGCUAAAGCCACUGCGAUACUGGCCACACCCGCUGUCUUGAAAUUUGGCAGUGGAGGCACAGACACGAUACCACUUGAUUGAGACGUAGGGGUUCUAUAUCGUUUGUAGACGACUUAGAUCUCGGUCGGGGUGCCGUACUUAGUUGAGCAGUUCUUCACUGCGAUCUAUUGAGGCUAAGCCUUUUGACGGGGAGAUAUGU
rnacentral:ncRNA from 1 species